GUUAGAUUUUGGUGGAUUGCUCGAGAAAGUUACGGUUCUUGAUGCUCAUUAUUUAGUUGAUUAUUUGGAUCGUAAAUUGUUUAUUGCACUGAACAAAAAAAGUUCCUGCUGGUUGGAUUUGUGGCAGUCAGACGGGUUGUUGUCGAUUUUUCUUCGUCAACAUGGUUCUGAUGCACGGAUGCGGCUUAAUUCCGGACACGCGCGACCAGAAUAUAUGUAGUAUGAAGUGUACUAUGUACUAAGUGUUUUAUAGUUUCUUCUGAAGUUUAAUCUGUUAAUAAUAUUGCUUCUGAA